CUGCAGUGAUGACUUUCUUAAGACACCUUUGGAUUAAUCAUGAAAAGAAAAUUGAAUUCUGAGCAGC
ensembl:snoRNA SNORD58 Small nucleolar RNA SNORD58